CAACAAUGUGCUUAAGGGUCACUGGUGGCUUAAUCUCUCUAUAAUACAGAUGAUUAUUUGUCCUGAAGCUAGUCAUUUGCGCAUACAACACACUUUCCAUGGCGUUUCUUUUUUUCUAGGAUAAUCGAAGACUGAGAUGCCAUCCAUAGGCCCUCAACGCAAUUACUACUAAUAUGCAUAUGUACUUCAAUGUAACAUAACCGUCAACAACAGCAUGCAUCUACCCAGAAAAUAACACCGGUGUUCCUCCAAUUUACAAGGAGUAUUUUUAUGACUGUUUUGUACAAAAACUUAAAACCGUUUAGUUUAAAAAAGGACUGUACAUUUAGCUGAAAUAUUAAAACAGCAUACGUUAUAAUCGACAACUACAUUUUUCCUUUCCCUAAAAUAUAUUUUAUAAAUGAAUCAAUGGGACCCGUCUGCUUUAUUAUGGUGACAAUUUUAAAAAUCAAAAAAAAACAUCACGUACGUCUCAAUACUUGACCUUAAGCAAUCAUUUAAAAAUAUUUUUUAAUAUUACAUGCACGCUGUGCACCGGAUGUAUCCAUUUGUUUUUACCCUAGAGUUUCUCAUUUCUUGUACUCCUGAAGUCGGAAGUCGUGACCCCAGGCCAUAGUCCUGGAAUAUCUGUCAAUGAUACCUACUUCUCUAGA